CAUGUCAGAGCAGAUCAGCUCCAGCUGUUCCAAAGGGACCCACCACUGCCACGAGCUUACAUGGGAGAGAAGGAUGAGAGAUAGGAGCGAAGCAGCCCUGAGGCACCAAGAUCAGUGUGGAAGGAGGUGAUCCAGGGUGGAGAAGCAGUUCUCUGCAGCCCAGGAAAUGCAGGAGCAGAUCUCCCCGUGCAGCCAUGGAGGAGCCCACGGAGCUGCACCCAUGGAAAAGGCCUGAAGUAGGAGAAAUCUAACAACAAAUGGUCAAAUGGACCAAAGAUGGAAGAGGAACACAGGAGCAGAAAAAAGGCAGUAAGAACACAGCUGAUUGGAAUGAAGAUUUAGCAUUUGACUCCGAAGAAUGAAUUCCAGAGGAUUAUGAAACUCACUUUAUUUUUUUGCAAAUGAGG